rnacentral:rRNA from 1 species
AACGAACGCUGGCGGCAUGCCUAACACAUGCAAGUCGAACGAGACCUUCCGGUCUAGUGGCGCACGGGUGCGUAACGCGUGGGAACCUGCCCUUAGGUUCGGAAUAACUCCCCGAAAGGGGUGCUAAUACCGGAUAAUGUCUUCGGACCAAAGAUUUAUCGCCUUUGGAUGGGCCCGCGUUGGAUUAGCGAGUUGGUAGGGUAAAAGCCUACCAAGGCGACGAUCCAUAGCUGGUCUGAGAGGAUGAUCAGCCACACUGGGACUGAGACACGGCCCAGACUGGGACGGGAGGGAGCAGUGGGGAAUAUUAGAGAAGGGGCGAAAGCCUGAUCCAGCAAUGCCGGGUGAGUGAGGAAGGGGUUAGGGUUGUAAAGCUCUUUUAGACGGGAUGAUAAUGACAGUACCGGGAGAAGAAGCACCGGCUAACUCCGUG